rfam:Enterococcus faecium DO, complete genome.
UUUUAUGAGAGUUUGAUCCUGGCUCAGGACGAACGCUGGCGGCGUGCCUAAUACAUGCAAGUCGAACGCUUCUUUUUCCACCGGAGCUUGCUCCACCGGAAAAAGAGGAGUGGCGAACGGGUGAGUAACACGUGGGUAACCUGCCCAUCAGAAGGGGAUAACACUUGGAAACAGGUGCUAAUACCGUAUAACAAUCGAAACCGCAUGGUUUUGAUUUGAAAGGCGCUUUCGGGUGUCGCUGAUGGAUGGACCCGCGGUGCAUUAGCUAGUUGGUGAGGUAACGGCUCACCAAGGCCACGAUGCAUAGCCGACCUGAGAGGGUGAUCGGCCACAUUGGGACUGAGACACGGCCCAAACUCCUACGGGAGGCAGCAGUAGGGAAUCUUCGGCAAUGGACGAAAGUCUGACCGAGCAACGCCGCGUGAGUGAAGAAGGUUUUCGGAUCGUAAAACUCUGUUGUUAGAGAAGAACAAGGAUGAGAGUAACUGUUCAUCCCUUGACGGUAUCUAACCAGAAAGCCACGGCUAACUACGUGCCAGCAGCCGCGGUAAUACGUAGGUGGCAAGCGUUGUCCGGAUUUAUUGGGCGUAAAGCGAGCGCAGGCGGUUUCUUAAGUCUGAUGUGAAAGCCCCCGGCUCAACCGGGGAGGGUCAUUGGAAACUGGGAGACUUGAGUGCAGAAGAGGAGAGUGGAAUUCCAUGUGUAGCGGUGAAAUGCGUAGAUAUAUGGAGGAACACCAGUGGCGAAGGCGGCUCUCUGGUCUGUAACUGACGCUGAGGCUCGAAAGCGUGGGGAGCAAACAGGAUUAGAUACCCUGGUAGUCCACGCCGUAAACGAUGAGUGCUAAGUGUUGGAGGGUUUCCGCCCUUCAGUGCUGCAGCUAACGCAUUAAGCACUCCGCCUGGGGAGUACGACCGCAAGGUUGAAACUCAAAGGAAUUGACGGGGGCCCGCACAAGCGGUGGAGCAUGUGGUUUAAUUCGAAGCAACGCGAAGAACCUUACCAGGUCUUGACAUCCUUUGACCACUCUAGAGAUAGAGCUUCCCCUUCGGGGGCAAAGUGACAGGUGGUGCAUGGUUGUCGUCAGCUCGUGUCGUGAGAUGUUGGGUUAAGUCCCGCAACGAGCGCAACCCUUAUUGUUAGUUGCCAUCAUUCAGUUGGGCACUCUAGCAAGACUGCCGGUGACAAACCGGAGGAAGGUGGGGAUGACGUCAAAUCAUCAUGCCCCUUAUGACCUGGGCUACACACGUGCUACAAUGGGAAGUACAACGAGUCGCGAAGUCGCGAGGCUAAGCUAAUCUCUUAAAGCUUCUCUCAGUUCGGAUUGCAGGCUGCAACUCGCCUGCAUGAAGCCGGAAUCGCUAGUAAUCGCGGAUCAGCACGCCGCGGUGAAUACGUUCCCGGGCCUUGUACACACCGCCCGUCACACCACGAGAGUUUGUAACACCCGAAGUCGGUGAGGUAACCUUUUGGAGCCAGCCGCCUAAGGUGGGAUAGAUGAUUGGGGUGAAGUCGUAACAAGGUAGCCGUAUCGGAAGGUGCGGCUGGAUCACCUCCUUU